CAAAAGUACAACAAGAAAAAAAUAUAUUUUCAGAGGAAAAGGUGAACAAUUCAAGGGAUAUUUGGCUGUUGUUUCUAGCACAACCCAAACCACCCUUCGUUUUCACUCUCACAUGUAUUGAUAUUUUCAAUAUUUUUCUCCCAUUAAAAAUAUUUUAUGGAAUGAUGAUGCCGAAGUAACUUACGCGUGG